rnacentral:tRNA from 1 species
UCCAGGGUAGCCUAGUGGACAUGGCACCUGCCCGGUAAGCAGAAGGUUGUGGAUUCGAUUCCCGCCCCUGGAC